AUUGAACGCUGGCGGCAGGCCUAACACAUGCAAGUCGAGCGGAGUGGCGGACGGGUGAGUAAUGUAUAGGAAUGUGCCUGGUAGCGGGGGAUAACGACCGGAAACGGGCGCUAAUACCGCAUACUAUUGGAUGAGCCUAGGUCGGAUUAGCUAGUUGGUGGGGUAAAGGCUUACCAAGGCGACGAUCCGUACCUGGUCUGAGAGGAUGAUCAGUCACACUGGGACUGAGACACGGUCCAGACUCCUACGGGAGGCAGCAGUGGGGAAUAUUGGACAAUGGGCGAAAGCCUGAUCCAGCCAUGCCGCGUGUGUGAAGAAGGUCUUCGGAUUGUAAAGCACUUUAAGUUGGGAGGCGUUACCUACAGAAUAAGCACCGGCUAACUUCGUGCCAGCAGCCGCGGUAAUAC
rnacentral:rRNA from 1 species